rnacentral:misc_RNA from 1 species
AAAAAAUUCAAAACACAGCCGUCUUAUAGUGGUCACGGCCGUCUUCCUUGUCAAAUAGUGGUCGCGGCCGGUGAUACGGACGGCACAGAAUAACAUUUCUCCCACUGAAUCUCUCUCGCCUAUUCAGCGUCUAUCGGCUAAGUCCACCGCCUACAAACACCAUAGCCGAACGCCAUUCGCCGCUAGGUUGGCCUUUUAACCCCUGAAUCAAAUCGCGGCUCCUCAUGAGAAGAUCCACGGAAGUGCACAUUGUGUAACUUACUGAUAACCCUAUCAUGAAAUUCUCAUACAAGCAAUAAGCGAUAUAAAUUCUCAUACUGUUUCCCAGGCCAAGACGCAUCCUUGCUAACGAUUUCCGCCAGAAAUCCACCGAGCAUGGUUCUCAAGGUCUCUUGAAACAAUUAUUUGAAUGCUUUUAUGGCUAUAGCUACAAGAAUUAGAGAGAUAUUGGAGAAUGUGGGGCUAGCACAAGAGAGUUUGCCCUCAGAUGUGGUUGGGUCAGCUCAAGUUCUUGCAAAUGUGGCAAACUUGUUGAACAUAAGAGAUACUGAACUAAAUAGGUGGAUUUGUCAUUCUGGCUCUUCAAUUCUAUAUCUUUUAUUUUGUUCUUAAUAUUUGAAGUUUUAAAUGAAGAAAAUGCAUAUAGUUUUCUUGUAACAAUGGGGGAUAUUUCCUUGAGGGUGGAGGAAAAGGCACAGAGGGCUAAAGCACAAAAGGAGUCCAAAAUUCUUCUUGAUUACACUCGGAAGGCAAUAGCAAGACUUACCUAUUUAAAAAGGCAAAUUCCUAAAUUUAAUUUUAGAUUCUUCUUCAAUAAUUUUUUAAGUUGUGGUCUGUCAUAUCUACUAAUAUUAGAUCUCCAAACUUUUCUACUUUAAACAAAUUGUUGUUUCAUGAACAGGAUACUCUCUCUCUCUCUCUCUUAUUUUCCCUUUUUUGCUCUCUUAUUUUCUGAACGGGCUUUGGUAGAAUGCUUGGACAACUUGAGGAAGAUGUAGCUCCUUGCGAAGACAAACCUGGCAGUUAUGGCAUCAAAGAAGCGAUAAUAUCUGCAACAAUAUUCCAACUAAAAGGGUAUUUUCUGAAUCCUCAGUACCAAUAUGGUCCAUGUGAUAUUGGAGACGACAAUGAAAUCAUGUUGGGAUUGAAAAAUGUGAUAAUGAGGCUAGAGAGUGAUUUAGUGAAUCAAGGUCAUACAUUAAACUAAGUAAGUGCAUAGCUAAGUGAAUUUAGCUCUCAAUUAGCUAGAAUUAAUAAUGGACUUAAUAAUAUGGAUUUCAUGUUAUUGGGUAGGCACUAAUGUUUAGAGAAAAAAUGGAGAGCUUUGGUACCACUUUAGCACAAAGAGCUAUUAAGUUAACCGAUCCAGGUAAAACUAAACUUUUAUUGUUUAUUAGUAAGUAUUGCUAAUUUCAAGCCAAUAUUAAAGUAUAUUGUUCAUUGAACUAUCACGUAACUAAGUGGUGAAUUAAUUAUGGUGAAAGUGCUCCUGAACUGCAAAGAAUUGCCAUUAAAAUGUUGAGCCAAACAACAUCGGCAUCUAAUUGUGAAAGAAAUUGGAGCACAUUUUCCCUUAUAAACACAAAGACAAGAAACAAAUUACGGUAUCAAAAAUUACAUGUACUUGCCUUUGUUUAUUAUAAUAUAAUGCUAAAAGUCAAAAGUCUUACAAGGAAAAGCCAAUAAGAGUUAGAAAAAAGGUAUAAUCCAAUUCAUUUGGAUUAUAUUUUUGAGGAAGAUAAUCCACUAAAUCCUUGGUUGGAGGAAAGAGAAUCACCUCUUAUUGAUGGUGAAUCAAAUUCAUGGUUAGAGAAUGAUGAUGAUGUUAAUGCUCCAUCACAAUACAUUGCUCAAAAUUAAGGACAACAAGGUGGUGAUGGUGAUUCUUUUGUAUUAUCCAGUUCAAGUGAUGGCAAUGAUGAUGGUUAUGAUGGUGAAGGUGGAGAAGAAACCAUAGGUGGACGUGGUGCAACUAGUAGUUCACAUCAAGCUUCACCUAGUCAAAGACAAAGUGAUGGUACUAGCAAUGCUUAUGAUCCAUCUCCAGCAAUGCAAUGCACAUAUUAAUAAUCUCGUGGCUCGCAUAGUGGUAGUGGUGAUACAUCCUGAACAAAGGGUAAAGGCAUUGCAUAUGAAGAACAUUCUAUUGAUUCAACUAAUUAUGAAUAUGGAUUUGGGUCUUACGGUAUGCAUGGACAUGACCAUGGAGGCUCAUCAACUGAAGAUACUUCUUCUAGUAAUUAUGGAUAUGGGCAAUUUGAAUGGGCACACUCAAAUCCAUAUCCAUAUAAUUAUCCUUCUAUAUAUUCAAAUGUCUCCUCAUUAGAGUCAUCAGAGCAACCACUAUACUCUCAACAACCCAAUUUGAGUGAUCCUUUUGGUGUGGGUUCCUUAUGCGGCUUUAAUCCAUCAUAAUACUACCAAUAUAGUCAAGUUGAUGAUCAAAGCUCUCAAAGUCAGAAUCAAAGUCAAGACCAAUAAGAACCUCCAAGACACUGAUUUUGGUGGUAGUAAGGCACUUCUUAACCAUGUGGGCUAAACACCAGAGAUCAGCCAUGGAGUAUUGGUUGAAAUGGCCGAACAGAGAAGGACUUGGAGAAGAAAACAAAGCCCAUCCUGGAUACUUUGAGGAGUUACCAAGACUUGCCACUGAUUUUGGUGUUAAUACAGGAUAAAGCCUUAGCUGCUCUGGCAGUGGAGGACAAGAAAAGACAGUAUGCUGCUGCUGAGACGUAUCUUGAAGAUUUAUUCCAUUCAGCCCUUGCCACAUCUGAUUAAACACCUUGCAUAUAGAUGAUUGUUGUAUUCUCUUAUUUGUUCAGGUACAUUUUUCUUUUAGUACAGAAACUAUGAAGUGAUUGUCUCUGAUGUGCCAAUGAUACUUCCACUUCUUCCACUUCUGGUUUUCUAUCCUUUGUAUUUGGUGUAAGGAGAAAGUGCUAAUUCAGUAAUGUUAAAAAGUGUUCGGAGUACAAAACAAAGAUCAUAGUAUAUAUGUUUGACAAAUUAUUGAAAUACGUAUCAUUAAUGUUUUGAAUUGGAU